GAUGAACGCUGGCGGAGUGCCUAAUACAUGCAAGUCGAGCGAACAGACGAGGAGCUUGCUCCUCUGACGUUAGCGGCGGACGGGUGAGUAACACGUGGAUAACCUACCUAUAAGACUGGGAUAACUUCGGGAAACCGGAGCUAAUACCGGAUAAUAUAUUGAACCGCAUGGUUCAAUAGUGAAAGACGGUUUUGCUGUCACUUAUAGAUGGAUCCGCGCCGCAUUAGCUAGUUGGUAAGGUAACGGCUUACCAAGGCAACGAUGCGUAGCCGACCUGAGAGGGUGAUCGGCCACACUGGAACUGAGACACGGUCCAGACUCCUACGGGAGGCAGCAGUAGGGAAUCUUCCGCAAUGGGCGAAAGCUUGACGGAGCAACGCCGCGUGAGUGAUGAAGGUCUUCGGAUCGUAAAACUCUGUUAUUAGGGAAGAACAAAUGUGUAAGUAACUAUGCACGUCUUGACGGUACCUAAUCAGAAAGCCACGGCUAACUACGUG
rnacentral:rRNA from 1 species